ensembl:lncRNA
UUUCAAAGGUUUUAGGGUAUUUGAGGAUUCUGGUGGGUUUUCGGGUAUUUGAGGAUUUUGGUGGGUUUUAGGUUAUUGACGGGUUUUGGGGGGUUUAGAGUUUUGGAGGGUUAUGGGGGUUUUAGGGAUUUGGAGUGUUUGGAGGCUUUAUGAGGGUCUUAGGGUUUUAGAAGGAUUUUGGAGCAUUUAGGGCUUGAGGGUUUUGGAGUGUUUUGAAGGGUUUUAGGGUUUUAUUGAUUUAGGGUCUGAGGGUUUUGGGGCAUUUUAGUGUUUGGAGGUUUUGGAGGGUUUUAGGGAUUUGGGGUUUUAUGGGGUUUUGGAGGGUUGUUGGUGUUUAUGGUAGUAGGGUUUUGAGGUUUUGUUGGUUUUGGAAGGGUAUUUGAGGGCUUGAGGGUUUUGGAGGGUUUGGGGAGGUUGGGAAUUUGGAGGGUUUUAGUAUUUUGGAGGGUUUUAGGAUAUUUUGGGGUGGAAGGUUUUAGGGCUGGAGGAUUUUGGAAGGAUUUGGAGGGUUUGGGCGGAUUUUAUGAUUUUAGGGCUUUGGAGGGUUUUAGGGUUGGAGGGCAUUUGGGAUAGAGUGUUUUGGAGGGUUUUAAGAUUUUGGAAGGUUUUAGGGUUUGGGAGAAAUUUAGGGUUCUAGGUUUUUAGGAUUUUAAUGCUUCGGAGGAUUUUAAGGGAUUAGGGGUUUUGAAGGUUUUAGUGUUUUGGAGGGAUUUGUUUUUUUUUUGGUGGGUUUUAGGGUUUGGGAAGGUUUUGUAAAAUUUUAGGUUUUCUACCAGUUUUGGAGAGUUUGGGGUUUUUAGAGAUUUGGAGGGUUUUGAGUUUUAUGGAUUUGGGCAGUUUUGGAGAGGUUUGGAUGGGUUUGGAAGGUUUUAGGAGGUUUUAAAGAUGUAGAGGGUUUUGGAGGGGUUUGGGUGUUUGGAAGGGUAUUAAGGUAUUUUGAAGGACUUUACAGGGACUUAAGAUAUUGGAGGGUUUUAGGGGGUCUUGUGGAAUUUUAGGGUUUAAAUGUUUUGGAAGGUUUUAGGGUUUUGAAGGGUUUUGGUUUGGGGAUUUAGAGGGUUUUCAGGGUUUAGAGGGUUUUAGGGGGUUUAGGUUUUUUUUUAGGGUUUUAGGAUUUUUUGAGGGUUUUAGAGUUUGAUGGUUGUAGGAUUUUAGAGGGUUUUAGGGCUUGCAGGGAUUUGGAGGGUUUUAGGGUUUGCAGGAGGGAUUUUUUUUGGGAGGGAGGGGGUUAUAAUUAAGACAAGAUGGAUUACAAUGCACGUCAAAAGGACAAAAAAAAUACACAAGUUAUCAACAGCAAAAAUGUUACUUAACAGCAGCUACUAGACUAUUACCUCCAGCAGGCUGGUAACACACAUCUACUUGGUAUAGAAGCAAAGUAUACAUAUGAAAUUAUAACAUACAUCAUCUUAAAAUGAGUUUAUAAAGCAAUGAAUCAGUGCAAGAACAUUUCCAAUUCAAUAAAACUUCAAAACUCAACUAACUUGUGCAAGUUGCAAAAACGAUUAGCACUGUGGCAUUUUACAGUCCUAACUAACUAAAAGCUUGAAAAUUCAUUAACAUGCA